rnacentral:lncRNA from 1 species
GAAUUCAGCGCAACUAGUGGGCCAACGCAGUGGAAGAGAGAGACUAAGGAGGGAUGUCGAGCUCCUGCCGCCGCCGCCGGAGACUAAGAGAUUGAGCGUGGGAUGUUUGGGUUCGAUCAGAUCGCACUGAGGAGGAUACAAGCCUGGUGUUCAUAUUUUGAUUGAAGAAGGAUGGUGGUAGUUUGGUCAAGAUCCAAAGAUGCCCAUUGUUAUAAUCUUGUAUGAUUAUGCAUAUCCCACCUCUCCAACAGGAGAGUUAUAUCCUACCUUGACAAGAUUUAAUUUCCAAUCCUAGAGUAAACUGAACCACCAAACACUAGCUUGGAUUUUUUUAGUCCUAUCCAAUUAUUAAUCCAGAAGUUUGUAGCCGUCAAAAUGAUGGAGGUUCCGGGAAGGCGGUCAAUGCACCACUACAUGUCCUCGACACAGCGAACCUCGAAGCACACGCCGCAAAUUUGGCCACUCUCAAUCGAACAGCGCCCCACCAUUGCCAUUCCGAAAUUGGCUUUCAUCAAGUAGCAAUAGCCGCACGGCCUGCCCACAGCUUCGGGUCGGUCUCCACCACCUCCACUCAGAAGCAGGUUCAGAUCUUCCAAGUUGAAAUUCCGGCCAUUAUCACCAGCUCCGGUUAUUUCUAAGCUUACCAGUUCGAGUGAUGUAAGGUUAUAGCUUAGGGAGGAUGGAGUAAUGAGAUGUUGAUAAGGGUGAUAGAUUAUGUUUCACUGUCAUUAUGUGGAAGUAGAUGAAGGCUUGGAGGUUAUGGUGUUACACAUUGGCGCUGGGAGAUGGCUUUGUUUUUGGGCUUUAAUGAAUCAUCCAGUGAUGGUAAAAUAG